GGAGGCUCGAAGCGAUACUGACGUGCAAAUCGUUCGUCUGACUUGGGUAUAGGGGCGAACGACUAAUCGAACCAUCUAGUAGCUGGUUCCCUCCGAAGUUUCCCUCAGGAUAGCUGGAGCCCAUUACGAGUUCUAUCAGGUAAAGCCAAUGAUUAGAGGCAUUGGGGACGCAACGUCCUCGACCUAUUCUCAAACUUUAAA
rnacentral:ncRNA from 1 species